CGGCCCAUUUGCGGAAGCGGACGUUCGUGUCCGCGUGGCCGACCCAAACGGACAAAAAACGGACAAAAUCGCUGUCCGUUUGGGUCGGUCCGUUGGAGUUGCUCUAAAAUAUUCAGUAAUUUUAGAAAUAUGUUUUCACAUUAAGAAAAUAUUGUGAAUCUCCAAAUGAAAAAUGCAUUGCCUUAAGAAAUUAGGUAAUUUUUCACACAUUUGAAAGGUUUUCGUCCCUUUAAAACAAUGAUCAUUCACAUUGAAAAAAGGGUAGCACGGAAUGAUUGAAUUUUAAAAAUACAUGCAUAUAUUUCUGUGUAAACAAAAUGCUGCAUGCAAAUCAACAAAAAAACUGCUAAAACCGAAGUGUAGCCGGGGAAGAAACAAUGCUACAUUGAACUGGUUCGUUUGCCCAUCAGGCACGUGCGGGCAUGUUUGGUUAGUUCACCAUGUUGCCCAACAAAUAUGUCGGCAAGAUUUGCGAUCUGUGUUGAGGAGUGAAAAACAAGGGAUUAACCGUAACUAUGAAAAAAAAAUCGACAUCUUUUUCAAAUACAUUCUUUUGUGUGUCUUCGUCUUUUCAUUUUGACUUUUUAUGAUUUAUUUCUUUUCUGCGUACUUACAAUUUAUGUUUUAUAUUUUUUUGUUCCUAUAACUGGUAUUGGUUUUGUUCCGAUUUUCUCUUUUAUUUUUCUUUCCCAAUUUUCUAUUUUAUUUUCUUCUGAAUCAGUUAGUUCUCAUUUUGUUGUAAUUUUAUUUAUUUUGCAGUACUUUCUUAACCAUAAUUUUGUAAUUUUAGUUUUUUUUUGCUUAUAGAGCUGAUGCUUUUGGUUGAUUNU
rnacentral:lncRNA from 1 species